AUGAUAGUGGAUCUAGCUAAAAUAGAAAUGCACAUGCUCAUGGAUGGAUACUCCAGUGGUGAUUCCUAUAGUUCACCCAAGUGCUUUUACCUGAGGUGUUUGAGGCCUUCCUGCUGUUUGUGACAAUAAUCUGUGUCACAGUUGUAACGCUCAUUGAACUCAAAAUGUGUGAAGAUUUUGGAUCGCAGUGGGACCAGAGAGCAUGAGUGGACUUAAUAGCCUAUGUGUAGAAAGUUAAAUAAAAUAUGCUUUGAGAAUGAACGUGCAGAGAAGUUGAACCUGCAGCAGAUUGAGGAGGACUUCCGGUGCCCUAAACUCACGACGUUCAUACAGAACUCUUCGCUGAGAAUUCUUCAACGAGACGAGGUUUUGACGCACCGGAGAUAAAUGAAUAAGCCCAUGGAGCGUGGGGAUAUAGAAAAUAUCAACUUUUUUCUCCAUCUGAUCGCUCUAAGUGGAGGACAUUUGUAGACAUUUGUGGUUAUUCUUUACCCAUGGAUUAGUCAGAAGCGAUCCGUGGGUAAACCUUCGUGGGAUAUUUUGGCUGCAUGAAGAGGCUGGCUUGUUGAGGCGCCCCUCCAUCGCGUAUUCCACCGGGAGAAGAACUGGGCGCAUGGUAAAGUGAAGCAUAUAUACUCUCGUAGAAAUGUUAGUAUUUUAGCCUGCAGGUGAUUAACUGUUGCAAUUGGGCUUGAAAACAGACACGCCUUUUGGAUACAGCGUCUGGGAAUAACAAGUUCAGCUCUGAAAUUGGUGUCGGAAUGGUCUGAAAAGAUGUGAAGUGUUCCUUGUGCCAAUUUGGAAAUGGAAAAAAGAAGAUGCGAUGUAAAAACAUGCUAGAUUGGACAAAUAUUUUUCUCCUGCUUCGUGGGAUUUUUUUGCAGUGUGCUCAGUCAACGUGACCGUGGUCAACAAAAGUGUUCCCAAAUUCUUUAGCGCAUACAGCUUAAAGUAGAACACAAAAUUAUUAAUUUUCUUUGACAUUUACUGGCACGAAAUGGUUGUUUGGGAGCCCCAAAGUUAAACUUGGCGGGUAAAAAACCCUGAGAAUUGCCGUUUGAUUUUUUUUUUUUUUUUUGCUUUCUGGAAAUGUGAGUCCAGUGGAGACCAGUGCGCACCACACAGUCGCCAAGGCUGCAACGCACAACCCAAUUUUCCAUCGGGGAACCGGGCUUUGCAUCGCAGCAUCGCAACGACGUCCUCGCCUUUUCUCGCCGAAAUGCCUCUGUGUGCACCGAUUCCAUAAAUGGCCAGGGGAUACUGAUUCUCCAUGGUGUUCACCGGCCAGGUGUCUCGGAUAAGGCGAAACGUUGGCUGUUUUGUUCAGUAAAUCCUGGACACACCUUUUUUAAUGUCAGUCAAGAUCUCGGCUUGGUUGCCAUGACGAGCGAGGAGUGUCCUGUGCCGCUGGGGAGCAUUUCCUCAGCAGGGCCAGGGCAGAGUGAGGAAUACGGCUUGGCGCAGGCUGAUGACAUCAUUGAGGAAGUGGGUUCAGGUGAUGACGUCAGUAUCGGCAGUGACCUAAGCACUCUUGUGUUGCCCUACCCAGAGCUGGCACCUGUGGUCUUCUUCUGCCUAAAGCAAACCACCUGUCCUCGCAACUGGUGCAUCCGUAUGGUCUCCAGUCCAUAUCCUUUCAUUGACUGGUGGAGCUGGCUCCUUUUAACCUUAACCUUAAUGAUAACAUUUACUUCAUCAAUUAUGCUUCAUCAUUCUCUAACCCUUAUUAUUCACCUGUACACGUAACAGCUCCAAGUGCAUGUUCAGUUUUAAAUAUGAAGUUCAUGCAAUGCACUUUAAUUGUAUCUGUUUAAAACACUCACCUUCGUUAACCUCAUUCUUAACCUCUUCUGUUCAUUGGUACACCUUUGAUGCAGCAUAUUUUCAUCUCCUCAGCUAACACUGGUGCUCCAGUCGCUUUUUAUUAGAGCCUUUUGUCUGCCAUCAGUUUCUCUCCUUUAUGAUAUCUUCCUUCUCUGUUUUGUGUUCUUUUAAUACACUUUUUUUUUAUCCAUCUUGAUCCUGACUCCCUAUCCUAUCCUUUCUCACUCCUUUAUAUUUUUGGAUUUUCUACCACAUUACAACAGACAUCCCAGAAUCUACUCAAAGUAAGUGUGUUUGACAUCUUUAUACAACCACAACUAUAGUGGUCAGCAUUGCACUACUUAAACAAUGGGAUGUGUGUGUGUGUGUGUGUGUGUGUGUGUGUGUGUGUGUGUGUGUGU